GACUACUUCUUCAGUGAGUGAGAGCACUACAUCAAACAACUUUUCUGCUGUACUCUGACGCAACCCGAGUUCAAGGAGCAACUCUUCUUUUCUUAAGACAGUUAUCUUCAACAGGUCUGUGCAGUUUGGGAACGUGUUGGUGCGGUCUGAACGGCUCUUAUAUAUGAACGCUCUGCCACCUGCUG
ensembl:lncRNA